CGAGGUAUUUUUAGUUUAUAAAUUGACUCAUAUUGCGAGAGGUGAGUUAAGCCUUUUAAUUUUUGUUUUUCAAAAUCAACUCAUAUUGCUAGAGGUGAGUUGAGCCUCAGGACACGCUGAGGUAAUUUUAAUUUCUGUUGUUAAAAAAAAAAUCAACUCAUAUUGCGAGAAAUGAGUUGAGCCUCAGGACACGCUGAGGUAAUUUCAAUUUCUGUUUUCAAAAUUCAACUUAUAUUGCGAGGAAUGAGUUGAGCCUCAAGACACGUUGAGGUAUUUUCAAUUUCUAUUUUCAAAAAAAAUCAACUUAUAUUGCGAGAGGUGAGUUGAGCCUCGGUUCACAUGCUGAGGUAUUUUCAAUUUCUGUUUUUAAAAAGAUCAACUCAUAUUGCGAGAGGUGAGUUGAGCUUCAGAUUACACACUGUGGUAUUUUUUUCAAUUCAUAUUGCAAGAGGUGAGUUGAGCCUCAGGACACGAUGAGGUAAUUUCAAUUUCUGUUUGUCAAGAAUCAACUCAUAUUGCGAGAGGUGGGUUGACCCUUUUAAUUUCUACUUUUUCAAAAUCAGCUCAUAUUGCAAGAGGUGAGUUGAGCCUCGGGGCACGCUGAGGUAUUUUCAAUUUUUGUGUUUUAAUUUCAACUCAUAUUGCGAGAGGUGAGUUGAGCCUCAGGACACACGCCGAGGUAUUUUCAAUUAAGCCUUUUGAUUUCUGUUUUUCAAAAAAAAUCAACUCAUAUUGCGAGAGGUGAGUUGAGCCUCAGGUCACACCGAGGUAUUUUCCAUUUCUGUUUUCAUUAUUAUGUUUUUGAAAGAAUCAACUCAUAUUGCGAGAAAUGAGUUGAGCCUCAAGACACAUUGAAGUAAUUUCAAUUUCUGUUUUCAAAAUUCAACUCAUAUUGCGAGAAAUGAGUUGAGCCUCAAGACACGUUGAGGUAUUUUCAAUUUCUGCUUUUAAAAAUUCAACUCAUAUUGCGAGAAAUGAGUUGAGCUUCAGGACACGCUGAGGUAAUUUAAAUUUCUGUUGUCAAAAAAAAUCAACUCAUAUUGCGAAAAGUGAGUUGAGCCUCAGUUCACAUGUUGAGAUAUCUUUAGUUUUUGUUUUUAAUGUCUGUUUUUAAAGAGUCAAUUCAUAUUGCGAGAAAUGAGUUGGGCUCAAGAUCACAUGCCGAGUAAGAAUAAAGAUUGAAGUUGAUGAAAGACACCAGACUUGGUCUCCCUGAAGCUAUAGUGGAACCGGUCAAAAGUUGCAAGUCUUGUCUCCCUGAGGUCGCAGUGGAACUGAUCGAGGAUAUCAAAUCUUGUCUCGCUAGAGUUACAAAAGAGAAGAUCACGAAUCUCAUCUCACUGAAGUGAUAAAAGAGCAGAUUGAAGCUGUAGAUCUUAUCUUUAUGAAGCUACAUGGAAGCAGAUCAAAGCCACAAAUCUCAUAUCCUUGAAGUUACAUUGGAGUAGAUCGAAGCUACAAGGCAUAUGUCAGAAGAUGUAAUGGAUUGAAUCUAAAGCUACAAGAUGCAGUGGACUGGAAGAAGAUUAUCUGAACUAGAAGAGCACCAAUGAAGUCAAGACCCAGCAAGACCAGGCAAAAUUGGCCUUUCAUUACGUCUUUGCUCCAUUCCCGUUACACGACAAUGAGCAAAGAGGGGCAGCUGUACAGGCCAAUUUUGGGCCACCUCCAAAACUCAAUAACUAAACCUGCUUAAACCCCAUACCCAUCUCAUCCUAAACCAAGCCUAAACAACUAAACCCGAAGCCCAACUACCCCUACCCAUUAACCUAAACUCAGCAUUCAGAAACCCUAAUCCCACUAACCCUAGCCACCUACCCCCCACUUGCCCACUUGCGCCGAACACCACCAUGUUGGCUACCACGCCCCAUGCUUCUGCCAACACCAUCCCCGCAUGCCUGGCACCUCCAUACCCUGCAAGACCAGAAAAGAGACAAGACAACAAAUAUUAAAUAAAAUAUUGUAAAGGCUAUAAAAGCCGAUUUGGAUUUCUGUAAACAGAGGGAUGGUUCUUUGUUUCUUAAAAAAUAAAAACGACAGGAAGGUUCGAUUAUAGAGCAAAAAAUAGCAGCCUAAUUAGAGUUUGAACGCAAAAUAACAUCCAAGCAGGCAGAAUACAAAAGAUCGAAGAUUCAAAAGUGAGUAAAAUCGAAGGUAAUUCUUCAUUUCAAUAACUGUUUUAAGUCCAUUUUUCAC
rnacentral:lncRNA from 1 species